rfam:Bacillus amyloliquefaciens FZB42, complete genome.
CGUAACAAAUACGAAGGGAUGAUGGGUGGACAAUGAUUAACUAAUCUUAUUUUGACCGUUUGAAAUCAAAUAUUUCAAAUCAGAAAAAAUAGGAUUAGUCUGCCCAUUUUCUAUACGAUACGAAAGCUAUGUAAAAAUAGCUUAUUUGAUCAUGCACAGGUACGGCUAAUCCUUCCAAAUCAAUUGGGAGGAUUUUUUU